CGAAAGCCUGACGGAGCAAUACCGCGUGAAGGAUGAAGGCCUAUGGGUCGUAAACUUCUUUUCUCAGAGAAGAAUUUUGACGGUAUCUGAGGAAUAAGCAUCGGCUAACUCUGUGCCAGCAGCCGCGGUAAUACAGAGGAUGCAAGCGUUAUCCGGAAUGAUUGGGCGUAAAGCGUCUGUAGGUGGUUUGACAAGUCUUCUGUCAAAGAUCAGGGCUUAACCCUGGGCAGGCAGGAGAAACUAUCAGGCUUGAGUUCGGUAGGGGCAGAGGGAAUUCCCGGUGGAGCGGUGAAAUGCGUAGAUAUCGGGAGGAACA
rnacentral:rRNA from 1 species